AGUGUAAAUUCUCCUGGAGCCUGUCAAGCUAUGUUUGAACUCGUUCCAGGAUAGUGGAUUUACUUUUUUUUCCCCACCAGGAAGAAUACUCGAUUAGACUGCAUUUUGCCUUGCUUUUCCUUCUCCCUUUCUCUCUCUUUCUUUCUUUCUUUCUUUCUUUCUUUCUUUCUUUCUUUCUUUCUUUCUUUCUUUCUUUCUUUCUUUCUUUUUCUUUCUCUCUCUCUCUCUCUUUCUUUCUUUCCUUUCUUUUCUUUCUUUCCUCUUUCUCUUUCCUUCUUUCUUUUUUUCUUCUUUCUUUCCUUCCUUCCUUCCAUCUUUCUUUUCUUUCUUUCCAUUUUUUUUUUCCUCCAGAAGAAUGGAAACAGUAUUCUUUUCCGAUCAGUUCAGUAAUACAAUGUCCUUCAGUGUCCAUAUGAGCAUUUCAGUGGAGAAGAAAAGAAACUUUGCUACCUGGGAACUGAAGACUACUUAGUGAAGAUCCCGGUGUUACACAUCCAAUCGUUCACCUCCUUCCAAGACUAUGACAUUCCAGGAAACCUUCACUGCUAAGAGGAACUAAGAUCUAGAGUAUCUCCUCGAGGAAGUACAACUGCCACAGCAGAGUAGCAAGUAGACAUUUGCGUCUGUCUCCCAACCCGUAUAUUCUGCCAUGUGGAGUACCAACUCUUUGUGCUUUGUAUCUAAACCUCACAAAAACUAUACAAGAGCCCUGCAGAUUUCAUGGAGGUACCAAGAGAAGCAAGCCAGAC
rnacentral:lncRNA from 10 species